AUGCAGAAGUCUUUCAUGGUAGGGAUCAACCUUUACAGCCGGAGCUUGGUCGUCGCCAUGGAGUGGCUGGUUCAAGAGGUCCUAUACUUCCAAUGUUUCGUCAUGACAGUCCAGAAUUUUCUCUGUUUCUAUCUGAAGGCAGCAAAAGCAGACGACAAAGUCGAGGAUCUGGCCAAGCACCUGGCCCUGCUCACACUUCUGGACUAG
rnacentral:rRNA from 1 species